ACCACAGAGGAAGGUGGCAAAAUGGGUAC
rnacentral:piRNA from 1 species